GGGCCCGCACAAGCGGAGGAACAUGUGGUUUAAUUCGAUGAUACGCGAGGAACCUUACCCGGGCUUAAAUUGUAGAGGAAUAUAGUGGAAACACUAUCGCCGCAAGGUCUCUAUGAAGGUGCUGCAUGGUUGUCGUCAGCUCGUGCCGUGAGGUGUCGGCUUAAGUGCCAUAACGAGCGCAACCCUUAUCGUUAGUUACUAACAAGUAAUGUUGAGGACUCUAACGAGACUGCCGUCGUAAGAUGUGAGGAAGGUGGGGAUGACGUCAAAUCAGCACGGCCCUUACGUCCGGGGCUACACACGUGUUACAAUGGGGGUACAGCAGGUUGCUAGCAGGUGACUGUAUGCUAAUCCGUAAAACCUCUCUCAGUUCGGAUCGAAGUCUGCAACCCGACUUCGUGAAGCUGGAUUCGCUAGUAAUCGCGCAUCAAGCCACGGCG
rnacentral:rRNA from 1 species